GGAACAUAGAAAACAAACACACACUGACCUCUCUGUGCUGGAGGAAGUUUAUACUGACAGACUCAAUAAAUAAUUCAAGGAUAUGCUGGGUGGUUUUAGGAGAUUUUCCACCUGUAUUAUUUGCUUGUAUCAUUAACUGGAAGCUGUUCGUUGAAUAAUAAUAUUAUUUAAGCUUAUUACAUUAGAAUAAUUAUAUUUUAUAUUUUCUUAUAUGAUUUCUUUGUGUCUGUCAUUGGUGCCCCUCAUGUCUCUUUAGUCAUCUCUAAUAUUUAUAUAUUCCUUAAUUCCGUUCUUUUACUUUUAGGUUUGUGUGUAUUGUUGUGAAUUGUUAGAUAUUACUUCACUGUUGGAGCGAGGAACAAUCAUUUUGCUGCACCCUCAAUAACAUCUGCCAAACACGUGAAUGUGACCAAUAACAUCUGAUUUGAUUUGAUCAGGUAACAGAUGACUACACUGUGAUUGGGUGAAACCUGUUUAAGAAGUAGACCAACCUGCAGUUGUUUUUGGGGUUAAAGGUCACUCUCAAUCAGCGGGGCAGGGAUCAUCGAGGGCGGUUUCAGACAAAGCGUCAAGUUUACGAUCUGGGUGCCAGAUAUAUACCAUUGACCCUGAUUCACCAAUGGAGAGCAGUCAUAACAGGUCUAGUGGUCUAAGCCAUUGCCUCCAGAUCACAUAUAACGCAACAGCAUGGAGGGUCUCAGUCUAGAAACUAAGCAGCUCCUCUCCUCCACCUCCAAGAAGAAAGGAAAGGGUGGGGCUAAGGGGGAACUAGCCAAAGAGGAAGAUGCCAAGAUGGACACUCAGCCAAUCAACAUCAGCCUCCGAUUCAAGAGAUACGUUUUUGACCCCCACAAGAAGAUGGUUCAGUCUUGAGGUGCGUUCAGUUCACUUGAACGUUUGCUACAUUGUGGAGCGGUUUGUACUGAACAACACGUUUCCCCAAAACGUUCUUGUAUGUUCUUGAACAGACUUUGUGCUACGUUUGGUGGGUAUGGCGAGGUGUGGCUUGAAGCAAGGAGUGACGAAUUGAAAGGGCAGCGGUCAUGCAGACAGCGUUCCCAAACCCACAACCCCUCCCCAUUUUUAAACUGGUUGUUCAGUACAGCACCGUUUCCGUUCAAGUGAACGUUCCAGAAUGUAAAAACCAACAGACCGCAGCCCUGACCUUGGCAGCAGUAGCUAGAGGAUGAGAACAGAGCGGUUAAAACAAGUGGCUACACUGUUCUCCUCUUCGAGUUGAAAGUAACGAUUACUAUAUUUUCAAUACAUUUUUCCAUGAUAGGUGAAUAAAUGCUUGCACAAAAUAAAAGGUGUGUCAGCCAUGUUACAGUAAUGAUGGAAAGAUGAGUGGUUCAGAGACGGUGUAAAGGCUGGCCUCUGUAUCUGGAGCACAUAGUGCCUUCAGAAAGUAUUCAUACCUUUUGACUUAUUCCACAUGUUGUUGUGUUACAGCCUGAUUUCAAAAUAAUGACAAAGUGAAAAUGUUUUUAGAAAUGUUUGCAAAUGUAUUGAAAAUGACAUACAGAAAUAUCUCAUUUACAUAAGUAUUCACACCCCUCAGUCAAUACUUUGUAGAAGCACCUUUGGCAGUGAUUAUAGCUGUGAGUCUUUCUGGGUAAGUCUCUAUGAGCUUUCCACACCUGGAUUGUGCAACAUUUGCCCAUUUAUACAUUUCAAAAUUCUUUGCUAGACAGUCAUUUUCAGGUGUUGCCGUAACUGUUUUAAAGUCACCAUUGGCCUCAUGGUGAAAUCCCUGAGCGGUUUCCUUCCUCUCCGACAACGGAGUUAGGGAGGACGCCUUUAUCUUUGUAGUGACUGGGUGUAUUGAUACACUGUCCAAAUGUAAUUAAUAAACCAGAAAGCCAUUGCAAUGCUAGUUAUAGCCUAAUGUUAGCUAGCUAACUAACAUUGAAUCUAGUUGGUUAGCUUUAGCUACCUGCAGAUUCAUACUCCAGCAUUUCAUGCAUGGUGGCUAGCUAUGACAAUCCAUUUUGCACUGUAGCUAUGGGUUGGGAUUAUGGUUAAUUGUUUAGCUAGCUAGCUAACAUAACUUUAUUUCUGCUAGCUAGCUACAUGUCUAAACAAAAUACUCCACUUCGCAAGAGAAUGAUUACGUGACCCAUCAAUUUAGCCUGGUGUGUCUGGGGGUGAUUACGGCCAUCUAUUGUAUUUCAUGUACAUGUCUAGUGACCCAUCCACUUAGAUAGAUGUGUCUGGGGGUGAUUACGGCCAUGCUAUUUGUAUUUC
ensembl:lncRNA